rnacentral:ncRNA from 2 species
GGCCCUAUGCGCAGGUCUGGUGCCCGUCAAAAGCGGGAGAAUCGGGAAUUCGGUGAGACUCCGGAACGUGCCCAACGCUGUAACGGGGAUGGUCUGCGCGACAUGCCACUGGGCAAGCCCGGGAAGGCGCGCAGGUCAGAUGAUCCGAAGUCAGAAGACCGGCCAGAUGUCAUAGCCUUGC